GAUGAACGCUGGCGGCGUGCUUAACACAUGCAAGUCGAACGGUGAAGCAGGAGCUUGCUCUUGUGGAUCAGUGGCGAACGGGUGAGUAACACGCGAGCAACCUGCCCCUGACUCUGGGAUAAGCGCUGGAAACGGCGUCUAAUACUGGAUAUGUGAUGUGACCGCAUGGUCUGCAUCUGGAAAGAAUUUCGGUUGGGGAUGGGCUCGCGGCCUAUCAGCUUGUUGGUGAGGUAAUGGCUCACCAAGGCGGCGACGGGUAGCCGGCUGGAGAGGGUGACCGGCCACACUGGGACUGAGACACGGCCCAGACUCCUACGGGAGGCAGCAGUGGGGAAUAUUGCACAAUGGGCGGAGGCCGGAUGCAGCAACGCCGCGUGAGGGAUGACGGCCUUCGGGUUGUAAACCUCUUUUAGCAGGGAAGAAGCGAAAGUGACGGUACCUGCAGAAAAAGCACCGGCUAACUACGUGCCAGCCGCCGCCGUAA
rnacentral:rRNA from 1 species